CUUGGCGACGAUAGCAAUACGGAACCACCUGACUCCAUCCCGAACUCAGUAGUGAAACGUAUUAGCGGCGAUGGUAGUGUGGGGCUUCCCCAUGUGAGAGUAGCACAUCGCCAAGC
rnacentral:rRNA from 1 species